AGCUUGGUGACUAUGAUCCGACUCCCUGUGUCCCCCCUCCCUACACACAUACUUCACACCUGUGUGGUUGUUACUGUUCUCUUGACCACCAUGAGGCACAUGGGAGUGAAGACCUUUUCCAAGUAUGAUUUAGCUGAAGAACUCUGGUCCUCAGUGGGUCCUUGGAUGAUGGAAGAUCCAUCCUGACUCCCUUUGAUCACACAGAUGGAGAUUAUGGAGUGUGGAACAUCAUGGCUUGACUCUUGAUGCUUCAUAUUUCCCUGCUAAAGCACGUCUCGUGGUUAAAACUGGCUCUGAAGAUGGAAAAGUCAGUCCAAACAUCUAAAAUCAUCAAGGUGAAAUGAAUUGGGGUAUGUUAAACAGCCCAUUGGCUGUCAUAAAACUUAAAACAGAAUGGCCCUCAUCAGCAACCAAAGUGGGAAAAGAAUAAGAAAAAACAAUAUUCAACACUGAAAACUAGACAUGAUAUGGUCACUCUCCUAACCAAUCCUAUAUUAUAUCAGAAGAGUAAUUUGGAAAUGCCUA